AUUGAACGCUGGCGGCAGGCCUAACACAUGCAAGUCGAGCGGUAACACAGGAGAGCUUGCUCUCUGGGUGACGAGCGGCGGACGGGUGAGUAAUGUCUGGGAAACUGCCUGAUGGAGGGGGAUAACUACUGGAAACGGUAGCUAAUACCGCAUGACGUCGCAAGACCAAAGUGGGGGACCUUCGGGCCUCACGCCAUCGGAUGUGCCCAGAUGGGAUUAGCUAGUAGGUGAGGUAAUGGCUCACCUAGGCGACGAUCCCUAGCUGGUCUGAGAGGAUGACCAGCCACACUGGAACUGAGACACGGUCCAGACUCCUACGGGAGGCAGCAGUGGGGAAUAUUGCACAAUGGGCGCAAGCCUGAUGCAGCCAUGCCGCGUGUGUGAAGAAGGCCUUCGGGUUGUAAAGCACUUUCAGCGAGGAGGAAGGCGUUGUAGUUAAUAACUGCAGCGAUUGACGUACUCGCAGAA
rnacentral:rRNA from 1 species